rnacentral:rRNA from 1 species
UCGCCCUUCUUGGUCAUUUAGAGGAAGUAAAAGUCGUAACAAGGUUUCCGUAGGUGAACCUGCGGAAGGAUCAUUAAUGAAGCAACUAGGGUUGUUGCUGGCCUCUUGGGGCACUGUGCACGCCUUUUUGUUCUUCUUACAUGUGCACUGUUGUAGGCAUGAGCUUUUUUGGGUUGUGUCUAUGAUUUUUUUUACAUACACUUGUCUCUGAAUGUAUAAUUGGAUAACAAUAAAAUAAAUACAACUUUCAACAACGGAUCUCUUGGCUCUCGCAUCGAUGAAGAACGCAGCGAAAUGCGAUAAGUAAUGUGAAUUGCAGAAUUCAGUGAAUCAUCGAAUCUUUGAACGCAACUUGCGCUCCUUGGUAUUCCGAGGAGCAUGCCUGUUUGAGUGUCAUUAUAUUCUCUCGAAACCACGUUUGUAGCGUGGUUUUGGAUUGUGGGAGCCUGCUGGCGUUGUGUAAGCCAGCUCUCCUGAAAAGAAUUAGCUGGAGUCUAUGUCCAAUGCUUGAAUCUACCUCUGGUGUGAUAAAUUGUCCAAGCCAUUGGUGGGUCAGGAAUGGAUUUUUCAACCUCUGCUUUGUAAAUAUGGGUCUGGCUUAGGCUGGAUACAGUUGUUGAACACUUUGACAUCAAAUCAGGUAGGACUACCGCUGAACUUAAGCAUAUCAAUAAGCGGAGGAA